AUUCUACUCCCUCCAUUCCACAAUACAUGCCUUCUAUUUAUCAAAAUAUAGAUGUAUCUAGACAUGUUUUAGUAUAUAGGUACAUCCAUUUUGGACAAAUGGAAGUCAAGUAUUUUGGAACGGAGGGAGUACACA
rnacentral:pre_miRNA from 1 species